AUUCUGAACAGCAGUGGCACAAACCUCGUACUCAGGGCUUCAAACCUGGUCCGACCAAUCAGAUGGUGAUAGUAUCAGCAAGACCCAAAGAAAGAAGACUGGCUGAAGGAAUCCGCACACAGCUUGUUAACAGUGAGGCACAAGAGAAGGCAUAGAUGCAGUGAGUACAUAGUACAUG